AGGCAUAGCUCAGCUGGUUAGAGCGCAGCCCUGAUAAGGCUGAGGUCGGUGGUUCAAGUCCACUUGCCUC
rnacentral:tRNA from 1 species